GGGUUGUGAGGUUAAGCGACUAAGCGUACACGGUGGAUGCCCUGGCAGUCAGAGGCGAUGAAGGACGUGCUAAUCUGCGAUAAGCGUCGGUAAGGUGAUAUGAACCGUUAUAACCGGCGAUUUCCGAAUGGGGAAACCCAGUGUGUUUCGACACACUAUCAUUAACUGAAUCCAUAGGUUAAUGAGGCGAACCGGGGGAACUGAAACAUCUAAGUACCCCGAGGAAAAGAAAUCAACCGAGAUUCCCCCAGUAGCGGCGAGCGAACGGGGAGCAGCCCAGAGCCUGAAUCAGUAUGUGUGUUAGUGGAAGCGUCUGGAAAGGCGCGCGAUACAGGGUGACAGCCCCGUACACAAAAAUGCACAUGCUGUGAGCUCGAUGAGUAGGGCGGGACACGUGGUAUCCUGUCUGAAUAUGGGGGGACCAUCCUCCAAGGCUAAAUACUCCUGACUGACCGAUAGUGAACCAGUACCGUGAGGGAAAGGCGAAAAGAACCCCGGCGAGGGGAGUGAAAAAGAACCUGAAACCGUGUACGUACAAGCAGUGGGAGCACGCUUAGGCGUGUGACUGCGUACCUUUUGUAUAAUGGGUCAGCGACUUAUAUUCUGUAGCAAGGUUAACCGAAUAGGGGAGCCGAAGGGAAACCGAGUCUUAACUGGGCGUUAAGUUGCAGGGUAUAGACCCGAAACCCGGUGAUCUAGCCAUGGGCAGGUUGAAGGUUGGGUAACACUAACUGGAGGACCGAACCGACUAAUGUUGAAAAAUUAGCGGAUGACUUGUGGCUGGGGGUGAAAGGCCAAUCAAACCGGGAGAUAGCUGGUUCUCCCCGAAAGCUAUUUAGGUAGCGCCUCGUGAAUUCAUCUCCGGGGGUAGAGCACUGUUUCGGCAAGGGGGUCAUCCCGACUUACCAACCCGAUGCAAACUGCGAAUACCGGAGAAUGUUAUCACGGGAGACACACGGCGGGUGCUAACGUCCGUCGUGAAGAGGGAAACAACCCAGACCGCCAGCUAAGGUCCCAAAGUCAUGGUUAAGUGGGAAACGAUGUGGGAAGGCCCAGACAGCCAGGAUGUUGGCUUAGAAGCAGCCAUCAUUUAAAGAAAGCGUAAUAGCUCACUGGUCGAGUCGGCCUGCGCGGAAGAUGUAACGGGGCUAAACCAUGCACCGAAGCUGCGGCAGCGACACUAUGUGUUGUUGGGUAGGGGAGCGUUCUGUAAGCCUGUGAAGGUGUGCUGUGAGGUAUGCUGGAGGUAUCAGAAGUGCGAAUGCUGACAUAAGUAACGAUAAAGCGGGUGAAAAGCCCGCUCGCCGGAAGACCAAGGGUUCCUGUCCAACGUUAAUCGGGGCAGGGUGAGUCGACCCCUAAGGCGAGGCCGAAAGGCGUAGUCGAUGGGAAACAGGUUAAUAUUCCUGUACUUGGUGUUACUGCGAAGGGGGGACGGAGAAGGCUAUGUUGGCCGGGCGACGGUUGUCCCGGUUUAAGCGUGUAGGCUGGUUUUCCAGGCAAAUCCGGAAAAUCAAGGCUGAGGCGUGAUGACGAGGCACUACGGUGCUGAAGCAACAAAUGCCCUGCUUCCAGGAAAAGCCUCUAAGCAUCAGGUAACAUCAAAUCGUACCCCAAACCGACACAGGUGGUCAGGUAGAGAAUACCAAGGCGCUUGAGAGAACUCGGGUGAAGGAACUAGGCAAAAUGGUGCCGUAACUUCGGGAGAAGGCACGCUGAUAUGUAGGUGAAGUCCCUUGCGGAUGGAGCUGAAAUCAGUCGAAGAUACCAGCUGGCUGCAACUGUUUAUUAAAAACACAGCACUGUGCAAACACGAAAGUGGACGUAUACGGUGUGACGCCUGCCCGGUGCCGGAAGGUUAAUUGAUGGGGUCAGCGCAAGCGAAGCUCUUGAUCGAAGCCCCGGUAAACGGCGGCCGUAACUAUAACGGUCCUAAGGUAGCGAAAUUCCUUGUCGGGUAAGUUCCGACCUGCACGAAUGGCGUAAUGAUGGCCAGGCUGUCUCCACCCGAGACUCAGUGAAAUUGAACUCGCUGUGAAGAUGCAGUGUACCCGCGGCAAGACGGAAAGACCCCGUGAACCUUUACUAUAGCUUGACACUGAACAUUGAGCCUUGAUGUGUAGGAUAGGUGGGAGGCUUUGAAGUGUGGACGCCAGUCUGCAUGGAGCCGACCUUGAAAUACCACCCUUUAAUGUUUGAUGUUCUAACGUUGACCCGUAAUCCGGGUUGCGGACAGUGUCUGGUGGGUAGUUUGACUGGGGCGGUCUCCUCCUAAAGAGUAACGGAGGAGCACGAAGGUUGGCUAAUCCUGGUCGGACAUCAGGAGGUUAGUGCAAUGGCAUAAGCCAGCUUGACUGCGAGCGUGACGGCGCGAGCAGGUGCGAAAGCAGGUCAUAGUGAUCCGGUGGUUCUGAAUGGAAGGGCCAUCGCUCAACGGAUAAAAGGUACUCCGGGGAUAACAGGCUGAUACCGCCCAAGAGUUCAUAUCGACGGCGGUGUUUGGCACCUCGAUGUCGGCUCAUCACAUCCUGGGGCUGAAGUAGGUCCCAAGGGUAUGGCUGUUCGCCAUUUAAAGUGGUACGCGAGCUGGGUUUAGAACGUCGUGAGACAGUUCGGUCCCUAUCUGCCGUGGGCGCUGGAGAACUGAGGGGGGCUGCUCCUAGUACGAGAGGACCGGAGUGGACGCAUCACUGGUGUUCGGGUUGUCAUGCCAAUGGCACUGCCCGGUAGCUAAAUGCGGAAGAGAUAAGUGCUGAAAGCAUCUAAGCACGAAACUUGCCCCGAGAUGAGUUCUCCCUGACCCUUUAAGGGUCCUGAAGGAACGUUGAAGACGACGACGUUGAUAGGCCGGGUGUGUAAGCGCAGCGAUGCGUUGAGCUAACCGGUACUAAUGAACCGUGAGGCUUAACCUUACAACGCCGAAGCUGUU
rnacentral:rRNA from 1 species